UCAAGCUACUAAGGGCAUACGGUGGAUGCCUAGGCGCCAGGAGCCGAAGAAGGACGCGGUAAGCUGCGAAAAGCCACGGGGAACUGCAAGCGAGUAUUGAUCCGUGGAUAUCCGAAUGGGGAAACCCGGCCAUCGUAAUGGAUGGUCAUCCGCAAGGAAGGGAACCCGGGGAACUGAAACAUCUAAGUACCCGGAGGAAAAGAAAUCAAACGAGAUGCCCACAGUAGCGGCGAGCGAAGAGGGCAGAGCCCAAACCUGUAAGCUACGGCUUAUGGGGGUUGAGGACUGACGUAAUUAAGGCCAGGCUUAGCUGAACUACCUGGGAAGGUAGGCGAUAGAAGGUAAGAGCCCUGUAAGCGAAAAGCAGAGCCUUAAGGUCAGUAUCCAGAGUACCACGGAGCACGAGGAAUUCUGUGGGAAGCAGGGGGGACCACCCUCCAAGGCUAAAGACUAACUGGCGACCGAUAGCGCAUAGUACCGUGAGGGAAAGGUGAAAAGAACCCCGGGAGGGGAGUGAAAUAGUACCUGAAACCGUAUGUCUACAAGCAGUCGGAGCGAAAGCGACGGCGUGCCUAUUGAAGAAUGAACCAACGAGUUAUCUGCACUAGCGAGGUUAAGUGGAAGACACGGAGCCGUAGCGAAAGCGAGUCUGAAAAGGGCGAUGAGUUAGUGUAGGUAGACCCGAAACCGCAGUGAUCUACCCAUGUCCAGGUUGAAGCGCAGGUAAAAAUGCGUGGAGGACCGAACCGGUGAGCGUUGAAAAGCUUUCGGAUGAGAUGUGGGUAGGGGUGAAAUUCCAAUCGAACGCGGAGAUAGCUGGUUCUCCCCGAAAUAGCUUUAGGGCUAGCCUCAGGUAGUAAGUAUAGGCGGUAGAGCACUGAUCGGGCUAGGGGCCAUAAAGGUUACCGAACCCUGUCAAACUCCGAAUGGAUAUACUGCAGAGCCUGGGAGUCAGACUACGAGUGAUAAGAUCCGUGGUCAAAAGGGAAACAGCCCAGACCACCGGCUAAGGUCCCAAAUGCCGUACUAAGUGGAAAAGGAUGUGGGGAUUCAUAAACAACCAGGAUGUUGGCUCAGAAGCAGCCACCAUUUAAAGAGUGCGUAAUAGCUCACUGGUCGAGAGGCCCUGCGCCGAAGAUUCCCGGGGCUAAAGUAUGGAACCGAAGCUACGGAUGCGGUACUUGUACCGCGUGGUAGAGGAGCGUUCCCAUUGGGUUGAAGUCGUCCUGGAAGGGACGGUGGACUGGUGGGAAGUGAGAAUGUUGGCAUGAGUAGCGAAAAGAUAGGUGAGAAUCCUAUCCACCGAAAGCAUAAGGAUUCCUGAGCAACGAUCGUCGUCUCAGGGUAAGUCGGGACCUAAUCCGAGGCAAGGAGCGUAGGAGAUGGACAACAGGUUGAUAUUCCUGUACCGGCAGCAAUUGUUUGAGCGAAGGAGUGACACAGAAGGGCAGGCAGGCGCGAGACUGGAUUGUCGCGUGCAAGCGUGUAGGGUAGUGUACAGGCAAAUCCGUACACUGAGAGCCUGAGGCGUUACGCGGAGCGAGCAGAGAUGCGAGCGAAGCUGCUGAUCCCACACUGUCGAGAAAAGCUUCUAGUGAGAGAGCUGCCGCCCGUACCGUAAACCGACACAGGUAUGCGGGGAGAGAAUCCUAAGGUGCGCGGGAGAACCCUCGUUAAGGAACUCGGCAAAAUGUACCCGUAACUUCGGGAUAAGGGUAGCCGUCUUGGUGAAGGAGCAUGCCUCUGGAGCUGAAGGCGGUCGCAGAGAAGAGGCCCAAGCGACUGUUUACCACAAACACAGGUGCCUGCUAAAGCGAAAGCUGACGUAUAGGUGCUGACACCUGCCCAGUGCUGGAAGGUUAAGGAAGGAUGUCCGGGCAACCAAAGCAUUCGACCGAAGCCCCAGUGAACGGCGGCCGUAACUAUAACGGUCCUAAGGUAGCGAAAUUCCUUGUCGGGUAAGUUCCGACCCGCACGAAAGGUGUAACGAUUUGGGCACUGUCUCAACGAGGGACCCGGUGAAAUUGAAAUACCUGUGAAGAUGCAGGUUACCCGCGACUGGACAGAAAGACCCCAUGGAGCUUUACUGUAACCUGACAUUGGGUUUUGUUGUAUUACGUACAGGAUAGGUGGGAGGCUUGGAAGGCUGGACGCUAGUCUGGCUGGAGCCGGCGUUGGGAUACCACCCUUGAUACAACGGAAUUCUAACCGAGAGAGUAACGAAAUCCGGGACAGUGUCAGGCGGGCAGUUUGACUGGGGCGGUCGCCUCCGAAAGAGUAACGGAGGCGCCCAAAGGUUCCCUCAG
rnacentral:rRNA from 1 species